GACGAACCGUACGAACGUUAUUCGGAAUCACUGGGCUUAAAGGGUGCGUAGGCGGUGUGGAAAGUUGGGUGUGAAAUACCUCGGCUUAACCGAGGAACUGCAUUCAAAACUACCAUGCUAGAGGGAGACAGAGGUGAGCGGAACUUAGGGUGGAGCGGUGAAAUGCGUUGAUAUCCUAAGGAACACCGGUGGCGAAAGCGGCUCACUGGGUCUCUUCUGACGCUGAGGCACGAAAGCUAGGGUAGCGAACGGG
rnacentral:rRNA from 1 species